GAACGCGAAGAACCUUACCAGGUCUUGACAUCCAACGAAUCUGUCUGAAAGGACGGAGUGCCUUCGGGAGCGUUGAGACAGGUGGUGCAUGGUUGUCGUCAGCUCGUGUCGUGAGAUGUUGGGUUAAGUCCCGCAACGAGCGCAACCCUUGCUAUUAGUUGCUAACAGGUUAAGCUGAGCACUCUAAUGGGACUGCCGGUGACAAGCCGGAGGAAGGUGGGGAUGACGUCAAAUCAUCAUGCCCUUUAUGACCUGGGCUACACACGUGCUACAAUGGAUGGUACAGAGAGCAGCAAUGCCGCGAGGUGGAGCGAAUCUCAAAAAGCCAUUCUCAGUUCGGAUUGUAGUCUGCAACUCGACUACAUGAAGUCGGAAUCGCUAGUAAUCGCGAAUCAGCAUGUCGCGGUGAAUGCGUUCCCGGGUCUUGUACACACCG
rnacentral:rRNA from 1 species